GGAUAUGUCUGUUGCCGGGGAGCAUCACCCAAACAUCACACUCCCUCCCCUACAGAAGCCCUGAGACCACAGUGCCUCACAAUGGGCUGGAGCUGGAGAAUCCUCUUCUUGGUGGCAGUAGCUUCAGGUGUCUCCUCCGAGGUCCAGCUAAUACAGUCGGGGCCAGAGUUGAAGAAGCCUGGGUCAUCAGUGAAGAUCUCCUGCAAGGCUUCUGGAUACACCUUCACUGAAUAUGCUAUGCACUGGGUGCGACAGGCCAAUGGAAAAGGGAUUGAAUGGAUGGGAUCUAUCAGUCCUCAUGAUGAUGAUACGAGCUACGCACCGAAGUUCCAAGGCAGAGUCACCAUCACCGUGGACAAGUCCACGAGCACAGUCUACAUGGAGCUGAGCAGUCUGACAUCUGAGGACACGGCCAUGUAUUACUGUGCGAAAGACACAGUGUGA